UACAUGUGGGGCAAGCGUUGUUCGGAAUUACUGGGCAUAAAGGGUGCGUAGGUGGCUUGUUAAGUCAGGGGUGAAAGUUUUCGGCCCAACCGGAAAAUGGCCUUUGAUACUGGCGAGCUCGAGUGCGUGAGGGGUAACCGGAACGAGCAGUGUAGCGGUGAAAUGCGUAGAUAUUGCUCGGAAGGCCAACGGCGAAGGCAGGUUACUGGUGCGCAACUGACACUGAGGCACGAAAGCUAGGGGAGCAAACAGG
rnacentral:rRNA from 1 species